GUAGGGAAUAUUGGGCAAUGGAGGCAACUCUGACCCAGCCAUGCCGCGUGCAGGAUGAAGGCGUUAUGCGUUGUAAACUGCUUUUAUAUAGGAAGAAAAAGACCUUGCGAGGUAGAUUGACGGUACUAUAUGAAUAAGCACCGGCUAACUCCGUGCCAGCAGCCGCGGUAAUACGGAGGGUGCAAGCGUUGUCCGGAUUUAUUGGGUUUAAAGGGUGCGUAGGCGGUUUAUUAAGUCAGUGGUGAAAGACGGUCGCUCAACGAUUGCAGUGCCAUUGAUACUGGUAGACUUGAGUGUGAUUGAGGUAGCUGGAAUGGAUAGUGUAGCGGUGAAAUGCAUAGAUAUUAUCCAGAACACCAAUUGCGAAGGCAGGUUACUAAGUCACAAAUGACGCUGAUGCACGAAAGUGUGGGUAUCAAACAGGAUUAGAAACCCUAGUAGUCC
rnacentral:rRNA from 1 species